rnacentral:misc_RNA from 1 species
AAGUCGUAACAAGGUUUCCGUAGGUGAACCUGCGGAAGGAUCAUUCACAACAAGUGUUUAUGGCACUUUCAAAUCCAUACCCACCUUGUGUGCAAUGUAUAAGAGUCCUUUCCAACUCGGAUUGGACUUGAUUUUUCUCUCACACGUCUUCAAUUGCAAGUCUAAGCUUUCAGAGUAAUCAAAAAAACUCGAAUACAACUUUCAACAACGGAUCUCUUGGCUCUC